UGCCCAGCAACUCCUAUCCAUACCUCCUCGUGGUACUGGCCGGGGUACGAGUAACCUUGGGGAAGAUCGGGUAACCAACCCCCGGUGGGAACUUUGGUCGUAUGCUGACAGGGAAGG
rnacentral:ribozyme from 1 species